rnacentral:lncRNA from 1 species
GAGAGAGAAGAGAGAGAGAGAGAGCGAGAGCGAGAAAGAAGGAGAGAGAGAGAGAGAGAGAGAGAGAGAGAGAGAGAGAGAGAGAGAGAGAGAGAGAGAGACCAGUGACAAAACAAUCAAAACAGUCCACAAUGUUGCUCUCACCUUUCAGAUCACUGAAGGUAAGCGGACCAAGCCUCUCGUUUGUAUCACAGUGGAACGUAUUUGUCAAGGAACUAUUGGCACACGUUAAAAUGUUAAAUCUGAGGAGAUGGGGCAUCUUGAAUAUACUGUGUAGAGUGUUCAUUCAGACAUGGUCAUGGUGUGACUAGCAGAUAAUAUAGCUAGCCCUGUAACAUGCGCUCCUCUGCUUUCCUGACACUUUGAAGACUAAUCAACUCAUUUUCUGACAAACUCUACACUACUUUCAGACAGACACAGAGAGACAGAGAGAGACAGAGAGAGAGAGAGAAAGAGAGAGAGAGAGAGAGAGAGAGAGAGAGAGAGAGAGAGAGAGAGAGCGAGAGAGAUAGAGAGAGAGCGAGAGAGAUAGAGAAAGAGAGAGACAGAGAGACAGAGAGAGAGAGACAGAUAGACAGAGAGAGAGAGAGAGCGAGAGAGAGACAGAGAGAGAGAGAGAGAGGGAGAGAGAGACAGAGAGAUAGAGAGAGACACAUAAAACCUGUUGGAUCAUAGCCCUCCGGAAAAAAGAGGAGGCAGAUGGAGAGACAUAAAUGAGAGAAGAGCAUUGUCAAGGUGAUAUCCCUCCUCUAACCUUUAUCUCCCAUUAAGUUUGGAGCUUAACGAUCAUGGCAGACGUAUGGCUCUGUUGGACCAGCGAAUGUGGUGAAAAGGACAUGUCCUGUUCCAGCUUGUUUUAUAUGAAGGGCACUGCUCCCCUUAAAAUGAGGGCUUUCUUGCCAAAAAUCUGACAUUACUGACUUUGAUUGACAGUACAGUUAAACCAAGAUUACAAAUUACCAACCCAUAUUUUGUAUUUUUUUUUUUACCAAAAUGAGUGGAGAUAUGUGGGUUAUAGCUGGUCUGUACUGAAAGCCUGCACACCCUGAGCUGCACACUAUUCAUACUGCUGUCUUAUUGUAUGUCUGUGUCUGAAUGCAGGUGUGGGGGGGGGGGGGGGGGGGUACCGGUCCAUUGUGAUGAUAAGAUAGCGGUGUAAGACAGACAUUCUCUCUAAUCAUACCACCUAAAGUAUGUCCCGGUAUACUAUAGCAGUGUUAUUCAACUCUGACCCCACGAGGUCCGGAGCCUGCUGGUUUUAUCUUCUACCUGAUCAUUAUUAUCACCCACCUGGUGUCCCAGGUCUAAAUCAGUCCCUGUUUAUUAAUAUCACCCGCCUGGUGUCCCAGGUCUAAAUCAGUCCCUGAUUAUUAAUAUCACCCGCCUGGUGUCCCAGGUCUAAAUCAGUCCCUGAUUAUUAAUAUCACCCACCUGGUGUACCAGGUCUAAAUCAGUCCCUGAUUACAGGGGAAUCGCCCACCUGGUGUCCCAGGUCUAAAUCAGUCCCUGAUUACAGGGGAAUCGCCCACCUGGUGUCCCAGGUCUAAAUCAGUCCCUGAUUACAGGGGAAUCGCCCACCUGGUGUCCCAGGUCUAAAUCAGUCCCUGAUUGAAUGGGAACAAUGAAAACAAACACUGGAGCUGGGUUCAAGGUCCAGAGUUUGAGGGCUGAUAGCAUAGAGUGCAGGUGGUCUCUGUGUACCCACACAGGUGUCCAGUUUACUAAUGAGACUCCUCCUUCUGAGGAAUGUUGGAUUGUACAUUUCUGUCCAAUAGAGAGCUAUGUAAUCUGACAACCUCAAUGAACUCCAAAUGCACUCCAAGCUUCCAGACGCAGGCAUCCAACGAAAGACAAACAACUGUACACAAGUAUGAUGAUGUCUUGAUGGAAGUAUGAUGAUGUCUUGAUGGAAGUAUGAUGUCUUGAUGGAAGUAUGAUGAUGUCUUUAUGGAAGUAUAUGAUGUCUUUAUGGAAGUAUGAUGAUGUCUUGAUGGAAGUAUGAUGUUGUCAUGAUGGAAGUAUGAUGAUGUCUUGAUGGAAGUAUGAUGUCUUUAUGGAAGUAUGAUGAUGUCUUUAUGGAAGUAUGAUGUCUUGAUGGAAGUAUGAUGAUGUCUUGAUGGAAGUAUGAUGUCUUGAUGGAAGUAUGAUGAUGUCUUGAUGGAAGUAUGAUGUUGUCAUGAUGGAAGUAUGAUGUUGUCAUGAUGGAAGUAUGAUGAUGUCUUGAUGGAAGUAUGAUGAUGUCUUUAUGGAAGUAUGAUGUCUUGAUGGAAGUAUGAUGAUGUCUUGAUGGAAGUAUUAUGAUGUCUUGAUGGAAGUAUGAUGUUGUCUUGAUGGAAGUAUGAUGAUGUCUUGAUGGAAGUAUGAUGAUGUCUUGAUGGAAGUAUGAUGUUGUUUUGAUGGAAGUAUGAUGAUGUCUUGAUGGAAGUAUGAUGUCUUGAUGGAAGUAUGAUGUUGUUUUGAUGGAAGUAUGAUGUCUUGAUGGAAUCCCAAGCACCUUAAUAUCCUCUUCUUUCUCAUGGUAUAUACAUCAACACAACAAGGCAGGGAACCUAGAGUACAGUGUCCAAACACCCAUUCUGAAUAGCAGCCAUUUAGUGUGUGUGUAUAUUCUGUGGCCAUAAUGGCUGGUUUUAUAACAGCUCCUUGGAUAGGAGUGUCAUAAUGGACUGUUGACAUUGACUGAGUACUCUGACUUAUUAUGGCACAGAAGUGUCUCAAUAGGUUGCCUCCUGUAACCUUGUUGAUACUGCUAUUGAGCAGGCUCUGCACAGGUGACAGUGUAUAUACAUUAUCCUGGUGCUAACUCCUACAUUGUGUGCAUUGACUGAGUUUGUUUCUGUAGACUGAAUGAAAUGAAUGUCCUCUAAACAUGUGCUUUUCCCUCUGUUUUGAGUGAAGGCUAAAUAUGAGCCUGUAGAAUAGAGAGAACUGUGUGUAUACUAUAGUACAAAGCACUGGCUGACCAGACAGGAGAGAGGUUAUGUCUGGCACUAUACUCUGACAACAAGGCUGUAUGCAUCAUCCCUUUACACACACACAGAGAGA